GGAGAAUUGGCCGAGUGGUCGAAGGCGCACGCUUGGAAAGCGUGUAUACGGCAACGUAUCGAGGGUUCGAAUCCCUUGUUCUCCG
rnacentral:tRNA from 1 species